CACGGUUGGACAUCGUGAGGUUAGUGCAAUGGCAUAAGCCCGCUUGACUGCGAGAAUGACAAUUCGAGCAGGUGCGAAAGCAGGUCAUAGUGAUCCGGUGGUUCUGAAUGGAAGGGCCAUCGCUCAACGGAUAAAAGGUACUCCGGGGAUAACAGGCUGAUACCGCCCAAGAGUUCAUAUCGACGGCGGUGUUUGGCACCUCGAUGUCGGCUCAUCACAUCCUGGGGCUGAAGUCGGUCCCAAGGGUAUGGCUGUUCGCCAUUUAAAGUGGUACGCGAGCUGGGUUUAGAACGUCGUGAGACAGUUCGGUCCCUAUCUGCCGUGGGCGUUGGAAGAUUGAAGGGGGCUGCUCCUAGUACGAGAGG
rnacentral:rRNA from 1 species